rnacentral:rRNA from 1 species
AAAUGAAUAGACGGGGACCCGCACAAGCGGUGGAGCACCUGCUUUAAUUCGAUGAUAACCGAAGAACCUUACCAAGGUUUGACAUGCUACUGCAAAUCCCGUGAAAACGGGACGUCCUUCGAGGGUGUAGCACAGGUAUUGCAUGGCUGUUGUCAGCUCGUGUCGUGAGAUGUACCGUUAAGUCGGGUAACGAGCGCAACCCCUAUGGCUAGUUGUAUCACUCUAGCAAGACUGCCCCGGCAACGGGGAGGAAGGAGGGGAUGAUAAUAAGUCAGCAUGGUCCUUAUGCCUUGGGCGAGACAGGUGCUACAAUGGCCGGUACAAUGGGCAGCGACGUAGCAAUGCGAAGCUAAUCUCUUAAAACCGGUCUCAGUUCAGAUUGGGGGCUGCAACUCGCCCCCAUGAAGUUGGAAUCGCUAGUAAUCGCCAGUCAGCUAUAUGGCGGUGAAUACGUUCUCGGGUCUUGUACACACCGCCCGU